rnacentral:rRNA from 1 species
AUUGAACGCUGGCGGCAUGCCUAACACAUGCAAGUCGAACGAGUGGCGGACGGGUGAGUAAUGUCUGGGAAACUGCCGGAUGGAGGGGGAUAACUACUGGAAACGGUAGCUAAUACCGCAUACUAUCAGAUGUGCCCGGAUGGGAUUAGCUAGUUGGUGGGGUAACGGCUCACCAAGGCGACGAUCCCUAGCUGGUCUGAGAGGAUGACCAGCCACACUGGAACUGAGACACGGUCCAGACUCCUACGGGAGGCAGCAGUGGGGAAUAUUGCACAAUGGGCGCAAGCCUGAUGCAGCAAUGCCGCGUGUAUGAAGAAGGUCUUCGGGUUGUAAAGUACUUUCAGCGGGGAGGCGUUACCCGCAGAAGAAGCACCGGCUAACUCCGUGCCAGCAGCCGCGGUAAUAC